rnacentral:rRNA from 1 species
GUCGAGAAUCAUUGACAAUGGGCGAAAGCCUGAUCAUGCGACGCCGCGUGGAGGAUGAAGGCCUUCGGGUUGUAAACUCCUUUCGGGGGUUAGGAAAUGCAUGGGGACGAACACUCCUCAUGCUUGACAAAGGCCCUUAAAGAAGCCACGGCUAAAUGCGUGCCAGCAGCCGCGGUGAAACGCAUAUGGCGAGCGUUAUUCGGAAUUACUGGGCUUGAAGCGCAUGUAGGCGGCGAGGCAAGCAGGUUGUGAAAUCCCCCGGCUUAACCGGGGAAUUGCAGUCUGUACUACCUUGCUUGAGAAUGGGAGGGGAGAGUGGAAUUCCUGGUGGAGCGGUGAAAUGCGUAGAUAUCAGGAGGAACGCCUGUGGCGAAAGCGACUCUCUGGUCCAUUUCUGACGCUGAGGUGCGAAAGCCAGGGGAGCAAACGGGAUUAGAAACCCUUGUAGUCC